CAGUUCCCUGUGGUUUACUUGUUCAAUUGCUCAGUAACCAGUAAUUGUUCAUCUUUUCCCCAGUGGAUGUUUUUAUGUCCUUCUACCCAGUAACCGGUAGUUGUAAGUCCUAUUUUUGUGGUUUUCUACCCAGUAACCAGUAGAUGUAAUCCCCUCUUUGUUGGUUAUCUUUAUCCAAUAUUCGGUAUUGAUAUUCCUUCAUUUUUGAGUAUACCACCCAUUAACCGGUGAUAUAUAUCUCAGAUGAUUACUUUUGGAAAGCAAUUUAUCCCCCGCGAGUCAUCU
rnacentral:lncRNA from 1 species